AGGAUGCGAGCGUUAUCCGGAUUUAUUGGGUUUAAAGGGUGCGUAGGCGGACUGUCAAGUCAGCGGUAAAAUACGGGGGCUCAACCUCCGCCCGCCGUUGAAACUGACGGUCUUGAGUGGGCGAGAAGUAUGCGGAAUGCGUGGUGUAGCGGUGAAAUGCAUAGAUAUCACGCAGAACUCCGAUUGCGAAGGCAGCAUACCGGCGCCCAACUGACGCUGAAGCACGAAAGCGUGGGUAUCGAACAGGAUUAGAUACCCUGGUAGUCCACGCAGUAAACGAUGAAUACUAGCUGUCCGGGGCGAAUGAGCCCUGGGUGGCACAGCGAAAGCGUUAAGUAUUCCACCUGGGGAGUACGCCGGCAACGGUG
rnacentral:rRNA from 1 species